rnacentral:pre_miRNA from 1 species
CAUCGCGGACACCCAUAGUAGAAGAGAGAUAGCACAACCUCCACCUUUUUAAUAUCCUUCCUUACUUCUUUGUAGAGGAAUAAUAUUUUCAGGAGAGGGUGUACUAUCUUUCUUCUUCUGUUGGUCUUCAGUGAUG